AUCCUGCUGCACGUGAUAAGAUAAGAUAAGCCUUAAUUGUCGCCUAUAGGAGAAAUUUGUCUCGAGCAUUCAAGA